AAGCGGUUUUGCCAAGGAUUAGAAAGUAGCUUUCCAGUUGAGAAUGGUGUACAACAAACCCAACUCAACGAGAGCUUCAUGUAUCACCAGAAUCUACAGAAGCAUGCUCAUCCUACAAGACUGAUGGGUAGAAGAGUUGCAUUCCCCAGUGUUGGUCAGCUGGCAUUUAUGAUGCAACAAAGUCAUGAGCAAGUGGACACGUCAAAGCCUUGUCCUCGAUGUUUGGCAGGUGAAUCUGGUCAUAUUAAUCAUAUGGCUGACUAAAAGGCAAGAAGAUCAUCAUGUAAAACUGAAGAGACUUUUAAUGGCAUUAUGAAGAUUCUACAAGAAAUAUCUAAAUUUCUUAAUAAUAUUUUAUUACUAGGUACUGUUUUCAAAUUUAGCCAAGAUUUUAUCUUUUUGUACUUGAACUGUCUAAUUUACAAUACUUAUUGUUAUAAUAAAGGCAGAACAACAUUUAUUUUCUCAUCAAAAGAAAUUAAAUGAUUGUCAGCAAGGUGUUUUCCGACAAUGUAUGUUUACGAAAGUUAUAACUUUGAACUUUAAAGGAAUGAAGAUAAUAUGUGACAUUAGUGCUACAGUAAAGAAUUGAUGACAGUGUGCUGUUUACUAAAGAUUUUUAAAUCACAUUGUUCUUCAGAAGAUUUUUUUUAAAAGGCUUCAUUGCCUGAUUGCCUGAUUGAAAAUCAAUGAUCAAUGGCAUUUGAUUUUAAAACAUUGUAAAUUGGCUACAUUUUUGGCUGCGUUUUUCACAUGUGCCAGAAUAUAAAUAACUUUAAACUACGUGGUAUUUCAUUUAUAAGUUGAGUGUACAGAGUGUUUGUUAUUCUUCUCCCACUUCUUUCAUCUUUUUAAGAAACAGGUGGCUCUUCUGGUUUACAAUUCCGUGUGUGUCAGCAAACUCAUCAUAGAAUCCCUCAUAGAAUCCCUACAGUGUGGAAACAGGCCCUUCGGCCCAACAAGUCCACACCGAACCUCAGAACAUCCCACCCAGACCCAUCCCCCUAUAACCGAACAGCCAUUAUAGAGGAGUCUGACUGUGUUUACACACUCCCAUUUCCCAAAAGCUGACCAGAUAGCAAGCCCAGAAGUGCUAAAGUCAUUUUAUUGUCUUGUUAGCUAGAUAAUCAACAGUGCAACAAAAUGAUGUUAAUAUAUGGCCUGCACUGCUGCCCUCUGUAACCCUCACCUUAUCUCUAACUCAUCAAAAAGAUCACAGCUUUUGACUAAAUUUGGGUUUCUGCCAUACCUGUUGGUGGUCUUGAAUUUAAGAGGUCGGGCAAACAAAGUAUUGGGGUUAUCUGCUAGUGUCAAAUCCAGUCUUUCUCAGCAUUGCCCAGGUUGAUGUGCUCUGCAUGGAAGUUAGUAAGAGGAUGACACUGCUUUCCUCUUCCCAGAAAAUAAAUUUGUGUCUCCUUUGUAUUAUCUUCAAUGGACUGGCUGGUACCAUUUUAUCACUUUGUGAUGGCGUAUAUAAAGUAUGUCGUACUUUUUUAACAAUGAAAAUAUUAAAAAUUUGAUGCCACUUUUGAUAAUGUAUUUGUGUUUUGAAGAAUACUCCAAGAAGCUCAAUACUAAAUUUUUAAUAUAUCUUGUGUUUAGAAAAUAUUUACAAGCAUUUGUAUUACUUUUGCUACAAGCUAUUGUAAUUUGAAACUGUUUCUCGUGCAAAAUUCUGUUUUAUUUUGCAAAACCUUAUUCUGAAACAAAUGUGCUAGACAUGGGAUUAUUGGUGUCUCAAGCAAGCAAAGUUUUUUGCACAGAUCAUGGAGGGAAUUCUAAAUAUUCAGUAUUGAUACUGUUCAGAAUAUUUUUGUCUACUUGAUAUGUAUCUGUAUUUAAUGGGCAUUACAUUGCUUUUUGUGCUGUAUUUAGGUUUAACUAAACUUUUGAUCUAAAAUAAAAUUGGUGCUAUUAUUUAA